rnacentral:rRNA from 1 species
UAAACGAUGUCAACUAGCUGUUGGGCCCUUCGGGGCUUAGUAGCGUAGCUAACGCGUGAAGUUGACCGCCUGGGGAGUACGGUCGCAAGAUUAAAACUCAAAGGAAUUGACGGGGACCCGCACAAGCGGUGGAUGAUGUGGAUUAAUUCGAUGCAACGCGAAAAACCUUACCUACCCUUGACAUGUCUGGAAUCCUUUAGAGAUAGAGGAGUGCUCGCAAGAGAACCGGAACACAGGUGCUGCAUGGCUGUCGUCAGCUCGUGUCGUGAGAUGUUGGGUUAAGUCCCGCAACGAGCGCAACCCUUGUCAUUAGUUGCCAGCAUUAAGUUGGGCACUCUAAUGAGACUGCCGGUGACAAACCGGAGGAAGGUGGGGAUGACGUCAAGUCCUCAUGGCCCUUAUGGGUAGGGCUUCACACGUCAUACAAUGGUCGGGACAGAGGGUUGCCAAACCGCAAGGUGGAGCCAAUCUCAGAAACCCGAUCGUAGUCCGGAUUGCAGGCUGCAACUCGCCUGCAUGAAGUCGGAAUCGCUAGUAAUCGCGGAUCAGCU